GUUCCCUUAGUUAAAUGGAUAUAACACCGCCCUCCUAAGGCAGAAUUGUAGGUUCGAUUCCUACAGGGAACG
rnacentral:tRNA from 1 species